UACGUAGGGUGCGAGCGUUGUCCGGAAUUAUUGGGCGUAAAGAGCUCGUAGGCGGUUUGUUGCGUCGGCCGUGAAAACCUGCAGCUUAACUGUGGGCCUGCGGCCGAUACGGGCAGACUUGAGUUCGGUAGGGGAGACUGGAAUUCCUGGUGUAGCGGUGAAAUGCGCAGAUAUCAGGAGGAACACCGGUGGCGAAGGCGGGUCUCUGGGCCGAUACUGACGCUGAGGAGUGAAAGCGUGGGGAGCGAACAGG
rnacentral:rRNA from 1 species